AAUGAACGCUAGCGGCAGGCUUAAUACAUGCAAGUCGAGGGGUAGCAAGAUUGUAGCAAUACAAUUGUUGACGACCGGCAAACGGGUGCGGAACACGUACACAACCUUCCUACAAGUGGGGAAUAGCCCAGAGAAAUUUGGAUUAAUACCCCGUAACAUAGCGAUGUGGCAUCACAUUGCUAUUAUAGCUUCGGCGCUUGUUGAUGGGUGUGCGGCUGAUUAGAUAGUUGGCGGGGUAACGGCCCACCAAGUCUACGAUCAGUAGCUGAUGUGAGAGCAUGAUCAGCCACCCGGGCACUGAGACACGGGCCCGACUCCUACGGGGGGAAGCAGUAAGGAAUAUUGGACAAUGGACGCAAGUCUGAUCCAGCCAUGCCGCGUGAAGGAUUAAGGUCCUCUGGAUUGUAAACUUCUUUUAUAAGGGACGAAAAAAGGUCUUUCUAGAUCGUCUGACGGUACCUUAUGAAUAAGCACCGACUGACUCCGUGCCAGCCGCCGCCGUAAUAC
rnacentral:rRNA from 1 species